AUGGAAAGAAAUAUGAGGUUGAAACCUAAGUGUUGUGUUCCAAAUUGUGAGGAUAGGACAUGCAAGCGUCAUCGGUUUCCGAAUCCAGAAAAAUAUUCUACUCUCUUCAAACUUUGGGUGGAAAAAGUGAAUAAUUCUAUCCUAAAAAAUAAAACACCACAACAGAUACGGAAAACAUAUCUUGUUUGUGAUUGACAUUUUCCAGAAAAUCACAAAACAGAGGGCCGAAAAGGACCCGUCCUGGUUUCUUCCUGAUGAAAGUAAUGAUGUUCUGGAAAUACAAGAAUGUACCAAUGUUCCAGAGAUCCAUGAAGGCAACAAUGAUCUGAUGAUAGGGGAACCUGCUGGCUGUUCAAAUUCCAUCCACUUAUUGAGACGAGGAGCAGUCAAGAAAAGGGUGAUGAUGAACAUUCACGAAAAAAUUUUACUGAAAAGACUGACUUAUCAGAAUAGAAAAUAUAAUGUUUGGUUUUUUCAA